rnacentral:rRNA from 1 species
GGGGAUAACUUUCCGAAAGGGAAGCUAAUACCGCAUAAGACUACGGAACGGCAUCGUUUUGUGGUACAAACUCCGGUGGUGAAGGAUGAGCAUGCGUCCAAUUAGUUAGUUGGUAGGGUAACGGCCUACCAAGACGAUGAUAGGUAGGGGGUCUGAGAGGAUGAUCCCCCACACUGGUACUGAGAUACGGACCAGACUCCUACGGGAGGCAGCAGUAGGGAAUAUUGGUCAAUGGAGGCAACUCUGAACCAGCCAUGCCGCGUGCAGGAAGAAGGCCCUCUGGGUUGUAAACUGCUUUUGGACGGGAACAAAUGACUCUUGCGAGAGUAGCUGAGUGUACCGUCAGAAUAAGCCACGGCUAACUACGUGCCAGCAGCCGCGGUAAUACGUAGGUGGCAAGCGUUGUCCGGAUUUAUUGGGUUUAAAGGGUGCGUAGGCGGCCUUGUAAGUCAGCGGUGAAAACUUACAGCUUAACUGUAAGACUGCCAUUGAUACUGCAGGGCUUGAAUUCAAACGAGGUUGGCGGAAUUAAAGGUGUAGCGGUGAAAUGCAUAGAUAUCUUUAAGAACACCGAUAGCGAAGGCGGCUAACUAGAAUGAUAUGACGCUG